CAGAGGACAAACUCCACUCCUGGCCUUCCUGCCCAGCUAGAUUUAAGGAUUGUAACCAGGACAGUGAGUCCCUUCUGGGAAAGGGGCCUCGUGGAGGUUAUGAAAUCCAGCAGGUCAUGGAAGGAGAAACGAUUGACAAUCCAGACGGGAUGGAGGCAGGAGUUGGCUCAGUAACCCCAUCUUUCCUAUCCACCAGCACUCCCCUGCGCUUCCCAAAGUCCGGCUUUUCCUUGGUCACCCAGGCUGGAGUGCAAUGGCACCAUCACAGCUCACUGCAACCUCCAACUUCUGGUCUCAAACGAUCCUCUGGCCUCACCUCAGCCUCCUGAGUUGCUGGGAUUACAGUCAAGAGCCACUGCACCCAGCCCCCUCACUGUUGCAUGAAUGGAUGAAUGAGUUGAUUAUGAACCGUUUUG
rnacentral:lncRNA from 1 species